AGGCUGAGCAGGAUGCUGGCCACGGAAGUUGGAAUCUGCUAAGGAGUGUGUAACAACUCACCUGCCGAAUCAACCAGCCCUGGAAAUGGAUGGUGCUGGA
rnacentral:ncRNA from 1 species